UGUAAAAUGCGUUCUUAUUCAAGUUUUCAACUCAGUCAUUCGUUUAAGAUGCAAUCUUGUGUUAUAAGUAUUAGGCUAUCAUGAUUAUACAGUGAGCAAGCUAUAUAAAUAAGUAUUUAAUAUAAUAAGUGUAGAGCAACAACCGAGGGUGUAAGGUAAAGGCUGAAUAUUGUAGAUUUAUUACAAUAUGUUGCAUGUUUGAAUUAAAAUACCUGUGGAUAUGCAGGAGCACACACUCUACAAAGGCCUGACUGGAGAUUUGCCUGAUCUAUCCGUCCUUCAGAUGACAGCGGCUCGCUUCAAGAGCAGGUGAAGCAAGUUGGGACAAUGUUGAAGACAUUUGCUCGCACUGGGCAAUCAGGUGCAGAUCAAACCCUAAUGCUGCGACGUCUUGGGAGUGUGGCGAUGUUGUGCGUAGCAUGGACGACAAAAUGCUAUGCUGCAAUGUUUCAGUGCCAAUGUGUCUGUUGGAGAGUUAUCCCUGACAGGGGAUCUGUUACUCCCCCCUAGACACCCAGGAACAUUUGGCGUUGCUUGACAACAGUUUGAGGCAGGAUAAAGAGCUCCAGCAACGAUUUCUUCGGUUUUUGGCAAUCAAAUGUGGGAGGGACCUAAAGACAACCGUGUGGCGAAUGCUUCAGAGUAUCUUCUCUAAUCACCUUUCCAUCAAUACAACCUGGACUGGUGUAGGGGAUAAAGCAUGUUUUAGAGACAUGUUCCUGAAGACCAUUGUUCAAAGAGCCAUCCGGAAGAACCCGGCAACACAGGAUGCCACUGAUGAGGCGAUCCAGGUUAACGUUACGCGUUACCUGAAAGGAGCAUCUGAACAUGAAGGUGGAAAAGGCGCCGCACAGCUGAGAGG